rnacentral:rRNA from 1 species
ACUCCUACGGGAGGCAGCAGUGGGGAAUAUUGGACAAUGGGGGCAACCCUGAUCCAGCCAUGCCGCGUGUGUGAAGAAGGCCUUUUGGUUGUAAAGCACUUUAAGCAGGGAGGAGAGGCUAAUGGUUAAUACCCAUUAGAUUAGACGUUACCUGCAGAAUAAGCACCGGCUAACUCUGUGCCAGCAGCCGCGGUAAUACAGAGGGUGCGAGCGUUAAUCGGAAUUACUGGGCGUAAAGCGAGUGUAGGUGGCUCAUUAAGUCACAUGUG